AACGCGAAGAACCUUACCAAGGUUUGACAUGCAGGGAAAAGCCUCAGAGAUGGGGUGUCCGUAAGGGUCCUGCACAGGUGGUGCAUGGCUGUCGUCAGCUCGUGUCGUGAGAUGUUGGGUUAAGUCCCGCAACGAGCGCAACCCUCGUCCAAUGUUGCCAGCGGGUAAUGCCGGGGACUCAUUGGAGACUGCCGGGGUCAACUCGGAGGAAGGUGGGGAUGACGUCAAGUCCUCAUGCCCCUUAUAUCUUGGGCUGCAAACAUGCUACAAUGGCCAGUACAGAGGGCUGCGAGACCGUAAGGUGGAGCGAAUCUCAAAAAGCUGGUCUCAGUUCGGAUUGGGGUCUGCAACCCGACCCCAUGAAGUCGGAGUCGCUAGUAAUCGCGAAUCAGCAACGUCGCGGUGAAUACGUUCCCGGGCCUUGUACACACCGACUGUAC
rnacentral:rRNA from 1 species